GGACGUAGCUCAAUGUAGAGAGAGCACUUGCCUACCAAGUGUGAAGUCUGGGUUCAAUUCCCAGCAUCUCCA
rnacentral:tRNA from 1 species